rnacentral:rRNA from 1 species
AGCUCAGCAUUGGGCAUAAAGCGUGCGCAGGCGGUUUUGUAAGACAGAGGUGAAAUCCCCGGGCUCAACCUGGGAACUGCCUUUGUGACUGCAAGGCUGGAGUGCGGCAGAGGGGGAUGGAAUUCCGCGUGUAGCAGUGAAAUGCGUAGAUAUGCGGAGGAACACCGAUGGCGAAGGCAAUCCCCUGGGCCUGCACUGACGCUCAUGCACGAAAGCGUGGGGAGCAAACA